rnacentral:misc_RNA from 1 species
GUGAAAUAACCUGGGACUUUAUGUCCCAAACCAUCUCACAUCCACACACCUUUGUGCACUGUUGGACAGACCUUUCGAGGCCUGCCCUAUUGUUUUACAAACAUCUUAUGCAUGUAUGGAACGUAUGAUAAUAAUAAAAUGAAAA